UGUUGUUUUCACGUUGACUUGACAUAAGUAGGUCAGCCAAUCAGGUGGCUCGCUCGAUUCUGCCCGCGUUUGACAUCUACUUCCGCUCGGGGAUGGUAACAUUUUCCAAGCUAGCGCAAUAAACUGUCAAUAUUUCGAUGUGAAGAAUCAAGAACAGCUUUAAUGACAGGGAAGUUUUGCAUCAGAGAUCAUCGUGUGAUGGAAGAUAAGACAUGUUAAGGGUACCUGGAUUUCACAAUGACACCAGAUCAGACAUGUCAUAAGGACUCUCCGG